ACAGCAAUAUGUUGGCUACUCUCAGAUUCACCAUCCCUCUCAGCCAAUUGCUCCUACAUCACGUGCUACCGCCAAUUAUGCAUAUGAAUUUUCUGAUCCUACACAUGCACAAAUAUACUAUUCUCAGGCCCAUGCUCCCCAGUUUGCUACUCAAUACCAAACCAUGACAUCAUCCCCGGCUGUUGGUUUACAUAGUACUUCUUCGCAGCUUCCGACAGAAAAAAAUCAACCAACGAAUUAGUACUUCACCAACCAUGAAAGGUGAGUUGCACAUGAAGAAACAAUUUUGUGGACAUAGGUUUGGUUUAUGUUUAAAAUUUCUGUUAUAAAUGCUUGAAUUUUGUCAUUGUUAUUGGUUUGUCAAGUGUAUUUGUUAUAGGUAUAAGGCAUUUGGGGUGUUUUUUUCCUUUUCUUGUGCAAUCCAUAAAUUGAUAGCGGUCUGGAUCAUACUGUAAACGCUCAAACUCAGAUGAUAUGUUCCCUGUUCUAUAUAUGAAUUACGGAAUAAAUGUAAUAUAGUGAUUGAG
rnacentral:misc_RNA from 1 species